GACGAACGCUGGCGGCGUGCUUAACACAUGCAAGUCGAACGCUGAAGACCUGGCUUUUGUUGGGCUGGAUGAGUGGCGAACGGGUGAGUAACACGUGAGUAACCUGCCCUCUUCUUUGGGAUAACGCCCGGAAACGGGUGCUAAUACUGGAUAUUCACUGGCCUUCGCAUGGGGGUUGGUGGAAAGGUUUGUUCUGGUGGGGGAUGGGCUCGCGGCCUAUCAGCUUGUUGGUGGGGUGAUGGCCUACCAAGGCUUUGACGGGUAGCCGGCCUGAGAGGGUGACCGGUCACAUUGGGACUGAGAUACGGCCCAGACUCCUACGGGAGGCAGCAGUGGGGAAUAUUGCACAAUGGGCGAAAGCCUGAUGCAGCGACGCCGCGUGAGGGAUGGAGGCCUUCGGGUUGUAAACCUCUUUCGCUCAUGGUCAAGCCGCAACUGUGGGUUGUGGUGAGGGUAGUGGGUAAAGAAGCGCCGGCUAACUACGUG
rnacentral:rRNA from 1 species